UACGUAGGGGGCGAGCGUUGUCCGGAUUUAUUGGGCGUAAAGAGCGUGUAGGCGGCCAGGUAGGUCUGCUGUGAAAACUCGAGGCUCAACCUCGAGACGUCGGCGGAAACCCUCCAGCUAGAGUCCGGAAGAGGAGAGUGGAAUUCCUGGUGUAGCGGUGAAAUGCGCAGAUAUCAGGAAGAACACCCGUGGCGAAAGCGGCUCUCUGGGACGGUACUGACGCUGAGACGCGAAAGCGUGGGGAGCGAACAGG
rnacentral:rRNA from 1 species